ACCUCGAUGUCGGCUCAUCGCAUCCUGGGGCUGGAGCAGGUCCCAAGGGUACGGCUGUUCGCCGUUUAAAGCGGUACGCGAGCUGGGUUCAGAACGUCGUGAGACAGUUCGGUCCCUAUCCUCCGUGGGCGCAGGAGAAUCGAUGGAGGCUGCCCCCAGUACGAGAGGACCGGGGUGGACGCACCUCCGGUGAACCGGUUGUCGACCAACGGCACGGCCGGGUAGCCGCGUGCGGCGCGGAUAACCGCUGAAGGCAUCUAAGCGGGAAGCCGUUCCAGGGAUUAGUUCUCCUUCCGGUAAGGGCCCAGGUAGACUACCUGGUCGAUAGACGGCAGGUGCAAGGCUGGCGACAGCCUCAGCCGAGCCGCACUAAUCGCCCGAGCUCUUCC
rnacentral:rRNA from 1 species